UACGGAAGGCAGCAGUGGGGAAUAUUGCACAAUGGGCGCAAGCCUGAUGCAGCCAUGCCGCGUGUAUGAAGAAGGCCUUCGGGUUGUAAAGUACUUUCAGUCGUGAGGAAGGUGUUAAGGUUAAUAACCUUAGCAAUUGACGUUAGCGACAGAAGAAGCACCGGCUAACUCCGUGCCAGCAGCCGCGGUAAUACGGAGGGUGCGAGCGUUAAUCGGAAUUACUGGGCGUAAAGGGCACGCAGGCGGUUAAUUAAGUUGGAUGUGAAAUCCCCGGGCUUAACCUGGGAAUGGCAUUCAAGACUGGUUAGCUAGAGUCUUGUAGAGGGGGUAGAAUUCCAUGUGUAGCGGUGAAAUGCGUAGAGAUGUGGAGGAAUACCGGUGGCGAAGGCGGCCCCUGGGACAAAGACUGACGCUCAUGUGCGAAAGCGUGGGGAGCAAACGAGGAUUUAGAUACC
rnacentral:rRNA from 1 species